AUAAUCUGGUAUUCUCAAAAGUUUAUUUAUAGAAGUCGUGUAGCAUAUUUAGAAUAUUGUUGGUAAUUCAGAAUAUCGAAUAGUCAUUGAUUGUGUGUAAUAAAAACAUUAAAUAAAUCGGUAAGAAACGAGAUCAUUGUUAAUUCCGGUGGAAAGUGCGCGUAUUUAUGGUGGUCAUUGCAAGAAAUUACUGACUAAAAUAAGGAACUAGCCUAAGCUGUAUCACCCCCAGGGUCAUCUUAAUUCUUAUUGUGAGAAAAUUGCAACAGUAACGAUGGCUUUUGAUGUUCAAUCUGGCUUUGGUACUCUGCACGGGACGUUCGAGAUCUCCGAAUUCGGAGCUCGCUGAGGUCCUUCAUCGACCCAUCAGAGCCCUAACGUUUCCUGAAGAGAGUGGCCUGGGUUUGUUCCUCGCGUUGGCGGUACCGCUGGAAGAUCCUUAUAAAUCCGUUGCCAUAGCAAACUUUUUCGAGGCGACGUACGAUUUACCCACAAACGCGUCCGAUGAGCAUCUCUUGUUCGAAACUGGACAGAGCAGAAGGAGGAGGAGAAGCCUCAACAGAGCUACAGUUUACGAAAUGUUGGAGAUAAAGUUCGAUAGCUACGGAUAUCAGGGUCACGAGUGUCUGCUGAGGGCAAUUUGCGAAACUUCGGAGCAUUCCUUGAGACAUAACGGGCUCAUCGGUGACAUUCUGCACGUGAUCUUCACACCGACGAGCUCGCGACACGAGGAACUGCCGCAGGACAUUCUUCAGGCUGAAGUGGUCGGACGUAAUGGAGGCUGCUCGAAGUACCAACCGCAAUGCCCCGUGGGACUCUUCGACUUGAUUGGAGUCCUCCGUUGAGCCCUGAAAAUCCACUGCGGUUCAACCCGUUGCUUUUCGAGCGGAAUGCGUCAAGUUUUCUCGUUUGCCAAGAGAAGCGGAGGAGCCAUCGUUGGUUUCGUUCGCGUCGAACAGGCGAUUCGUUAUCCGAGCAACGACGAAAUCAAUUAUUCGUGCGUUUAUGGUUGUCUACGUCGGAGUGAAACUGAAUUCCACGCCGAGGAAAAGUAUUUUUCAUUAAAUCGUGGGCUCUAUCGAGUUGUGGAACUCGCCGCUAUCGGAUGGGAGCGGAAUGAAUUCGAAGUUGUUCCGUUCGUUUUCAAUGGGAGGAAGAUUUCUGCAACCGACUUAAAUAUCGAGCAGAGGCAUUCUUCGGCGAGGAGGGGAAAAAGGUCUUGCCAAGUUCCGUCGGUCGAACGCAAGUUGUUUGCAAACGCGGAAAUGCUCACGGCCACAGGAAGUUGCGAGCAACUAGGCGCCAAAUGAAUAUCAUCGUAAACUGUUGCCGCGAACUUGCGGGGCUGCUUCUUUUUGACGAUUCCGCGGGCCAGCGUCGAAUUCGUUCGCCGUUCCGGGGGCCAAUUUGCAAGCCUCCCUUACCCCGGAAGAAUUACUUGCCAGAGGAAUUGGCGCAAAUAAAAGUCUCGUCGGAACUGCGAAAGUUCGCGCAAUCUUGGUAUGUUCUUCCUUUGCAAAUAAUUAGACGGCGAAUAACUCCGCGGCGAGCGCCAACAUUUUACAGCGUUGCGGUAUCGCGAAGAUUCUUCUCAGGUACGAGGUAAAAACACGGUCCGGAGGAAUUUCGAGGGAGUAACGAGUUGUUCAGCAAUGAUAAGUUACCUCGUGGCCACGACAACUCGUGCUUCGAAGUACGUAAACGCGAUUAAAAAUAUCCUUGACGACGAUGGUUAAUAACGUUACUCGACGGAGAAACGGAUGAUACGAUAACGGCGACAGCGAUUAUUUUUGUAUGCAGAAGGGGUUGUUCGUGCAACUGUUUCAAGCUAUAACUCCGUUGUUAAUGCAUUUAUGAAAAAAUGACAAAACAGAAAGGUAAAUGACCCGAUGAGCUCUGUAUCUGUAGGACCUUAAAUUAGAUUCUAAUUCAACAGUGCAGGUGGAAUUAAGAGUUGUAUACUUUUAUUAAAUGGAAAUGCAUAGUUUUUGUUUCACAAAUCCAUUCCCCUGAUUAUUCUACGUAAAACAUUAUUAAGGCCUUCGCUGGCUUCUGCUGACCGCUGCUGACCAC